rnacentral:rRNA from 1 species
GAUGAACGCUGGCGGCGUGCCUAAUACAUGCAAGUCGAGCGAACAGACGAGGAGCUUGCUCCUCUGACGUUAGCGGCGGACGGGUGAGUAACACGUGGAUAACCUACCUAUAAGACUGGGAUAACUUCGGGAAACCGGAGCUAAUACCGGAUAAUAUAUUGAACCGCAUGGUUCAAUAGUGAAAGACGGUUUUGCUGUCACUUAUAGAUGGAUCCGCGCCGCAUUAGCUAGUUGGUAAGGUAACGGCUUACCAAGGCAACGAUGCGUAGCCGACCUGAGAGGGGGAUCGGCCACACUGGAACUGAGACACGGUCCAGACUCCUACGGGAGGCAGCAGUAGGGAAUCUUCCGCAAUGGGCGAAAGCUUGACGGAGCAACGCCGCUUGAGUGAUGAAGGUCUUCGGAUCGUAAAACUCUGUUAUUAGGGAAGAACAAAUGUGUAAGUAACUAUGCACGUCUUGACGGUACCUAAUCAGAAAGCCACGGCUAACUACGUG